rnacentral:rRNA from 1 species
GAUGAACGCUGGCGGCGUGCCUAAUACAUGCAAGUCGAGCGAACAGAUGAGGAGCUUGCUCCUCUGACGUUAGCGGCGGACGGGUGAGUAACACGUGGAUAACCUACCUAUAAGACUGGGAUAACUUCGGGAAACCGGAGCUAAUACCGGAUAAUAUAUUGAACCGCAUGGUUCAAUAGUGAAAGACGGUUUUGCUGUCACUUAUAGAUGGAUCCGCGCCGCAUUAGCUAGUUGGUAAGGUAACGGCUUACCAAGGCGACGAUGCGUAGCCGACCUGAGAGGGUGGUCGGCCACACGGGAACUGAGACACGGUCCAGACUCCUACGGGAGGAAGCAGUAGGGAAUCUUCCGCAAUGGGCGAAAGCCUGACGGAGCAACGCCGCGUGAGUGAUGAAGGUCUUCGGAUCGUAAAACUCUGUUAUUAGGGAAGAACAAAUGUGUAAGUAACUAUGCACGUCUUGACGGUACCUAAUCAGAAAGCCACGGCUAACUACGUG